GUUUAAUAAGAAUUUCAGCUUUGG
rnacentral:piRNA from 1 species